GACGAACGCUGGCGGCGUGCUUAACACAUGCAAGUCGAACGGAAAGGCCUCAGCUUGCUGGGGUACUCGAGUGGCGAACGGGUGAGUAACACGUGGGUGAUCUGCCUUGCACUCUGGGAUAAGCUUGGGAAACUGGGUCUAAUACCGGAUAUGAACUGCCUUUAGUGUGGUGGUUGGAAAGUUUUUUCGGUGCAAGAUGAGCUCGCGGCCUAUCAGCUUGUUGGUGGGGUAAUGGCCUACCAAGGCGUCGGCGGGUAGCCGGCCUGAGGGGGUGUACGGCCACAUUGGGACUGAGGUAAGGCCCCGGCGCCUACUGGAGGCAGCAGGGGGGAAUAUUGCACAAGGGGCGGAAGCCUGAUGCAGCGACGCCGCGUGGGGGAUGACGGCCUUCGGGUUGUAAAAACCUUUCGGCAGGGACCAAGCUUUUUGUGACGGUACCUGUAUAAGAAGCACCGGCUAACUACGUG
rnacentral:rRNA from 1 species